UGGAUCCAGACUUUGAUUAUGGCUCAGGAUGAACGCUGGCGGCGUGCCUAACACAUGCAAGUCGAACGAAGCUUGACGGAUGAUUUCUUCGGAAUGAAACCAGAUAUGACUUAGUGGCGGACGGGUGAGUAACACGUGAGCAACCUGCCUUUCAGAGGGGGAUAACGGCUGGAAACGGUCGCUAAUACCGCAUGAUGUGUUCGGAUGGCAUCAUCUGAACAUCAAAGAUUUAUCGCUGAAAGAUGGGCUCGCGUCUGAUUAGAUAGUUGGUGGGGUAACGGCCUACCAAGUCUACGAUCAGUAGCCGGACUGAGAGGUUGAACGGCCACAUUGGGACUGAGAUACGGCCCAGACUCCUACGGGAGGCAGCAGUGGGGAAUAUUGCACAACGGGGGAAACCCUGAUGCAGCAACGCCGCGUGAAGGAUGACGGUUUUCGGAUUGUAAACUUCUUUUCUUAGUGACGAAGACAGUGACGGUAGCUAAGGAAUAAGCAUCGGCUAACUACGUGCCAGCAGCCGCGGUAAUACGUAGGAUGCAAGCGUUAUCCGGAUUUACUGGGUGUAAAGGGGGCGCAGGCGGGACUGCAAGUUGGAUGUGAAAUACCGUGGCUUAACCACGGAACUGCAUCCAAAACUGUAGUUCUUGAGUGAAGUAGAGGCAAGCGGAAUUCCGAGUGUAGCGGUGAAAUGCGUAGAUAUUCGGAGGAACACCAGUGGCGAAGGCGGCUUGCUGGGCUUUAACUGACGCUGAGGCUUGAAAGUGUGGGGAGCAAACAGGAUUAGAUACCCUGGUAGUCCACACUGUAAACGAUGAUAGCUAGGUGUGGGGGGGUCUGACCCCUUCCGUGCCGGAGUUAACGCAAUAAGCUAUCCACCUGGGGAGUACGACCGCAAGGUUGCAACUCAAAUGAAUUGACGGA
rnacentral:rRNA from 1 species